ensembl:snRNA U6 U6 spliceosomal RNA
GUGCUCACUUCAGCAGCACAUAUACCAAAAUUGGAACAAUAAGAGAUUGGCAUGGAGCCUGUGAAAGGAUGACACACACAUUCAUGAAGCGUUCUAUAUUUUA